rnacentral:rRNA from 1 species
GGCGAACGGGUGAGUAACACGUGAGCAACCUGCCCUUGACUCUGGGAUAACAGUUGGAAACAGCUGCUAAUACCGGAUACGACCUUCGAUGACAUCAUCUGGAGGUGGAAAGCGCUUUAGCGGUCAAGGAUGGGCUCGCGGCCUAUCAGCUUGUUGGUGAGGUAACGGCUCACCAAGGCUUCGACGGGUAGCCGGCCUGAGAGGGCGACCGGCCACACUGGGACUGAGAUACGGCCCAGACUCCUACGGGAGGCAGCAGUGGGGAAUAUUGCACAAUGGGCGCAAGCCUGAUGCAGCAACGCCGCGUGCGGGAUGACGGCCUUCGGGUUGUAAACCGCUUUCAGUUCCGACGAAGCGCAAGUGACGGUAGGAACAGAAGAAGGACCGGCCAACUACGUGCCAGCAGCCGCGGUGAUACGUAGGGUCCGAGCGUUGUCCGGAAUUAUUGGGCGUAAAGGGCCUGUAGGCGGUUUGUCACGUCGGAAGUGAAAACUCAGGGCUCAACCCUGAGCCGGCUUCCGAUACGGGCAAACUAGAGGAAUGCAGGGGAGAAUGGAAUUCCUGGUGGAGCGGUGGAAUGCGCAGAUAUCAGGAGGAACACCGGUGGCGAAGGCGGUUCUCUGGGCAUUUCCUGACGCUGAGAAGCGAAAGCGUGGGGAGCAAACAGGCUUAGAUACCCUGGUAGUCC